GUGCUCACUGGAAGGAACAGCACAUAAACUAAAGUUGGAAUUAGAGAAGAUCAGCAUCACUUCUGCCUAAGGAUGACUUACAAAUUUGUGGAACAUCCCGUAUAUUU
ensembl:snRNA U6 U6 spliceosomal RNA